rnacentral:rRNA from 1 species
UACGUAGGGCGCAAGCGUUGUCCGGAAUUACUGGGCGUAAAGGGCGCGUAGGCGGCGAACCAAGUCAGAUGUGAAAGUCCUGGGCUUAACCUGGGGACUGCAUUUGAUACUGGUUUGCUUGAAUUCGGGAGAGGAUAGCGGAAUUCCCAGUGUAGAGGUGAAAUUCGUAGAUAUUGGGAAGAACACCGGUGGCGAAGGCGGCUAUCUGGACCGACAUUGACGCUGAGGCGCGAAAGCGUGGGGAGCAAACAGG